CGGACGGGUGAGUAAUGUCUGGGAAACUGCCUGAUGGAGGGGGAUAACUACUGGAAACGGUAGCUAAUACCGCAUAACGUCGCAAGACCAAAGAGGGGGACCUUCGGGCCUCUUGCCAUCGGAUGUGCCCAGAUGGGAUUAGCUAGUAGGUGGGGUAAGGGCUCACCUAGGCGACGAUCCCUAGCUGGUCUGAGAGGAUGACCAGCCACACUGGAACUGAGACACGGUCCAG
rnacentral:rRNA from 1 species